rnacentral:rRNA from 1 species
UACGUAGGGUGCAAGCGUUGUCCGGAAUUAUUGGGCGUAAAGAGCUCGUAGGCGGUUUGUCACGUCGGAUGUGAAACCCCGAGGCUUAACCUCGGGCUUGCAUUCGAUACGGGCUGACUAGAGUUCGGUAGGGGAGACUGGAAUUCCUGGUGUAGCGGUGAAAUGCGUAGAGAUCGGAAGGAACACCAGUGGCGAAGGCGGCUACCUGGCCUAAUACUGACACUGAGGCACGAAAGCGUGGGGAGCAAACAGGGA